rnacentral:rRNA from 1 species
UACGAAGGGGGCUAGCGUUGCUCGGAAUCACUGGGCGUAAAGCGCACGUAGGCGGCUUUCUAAGUCAGGGGUGAAAUCCUGGAGCUCAACUCCAGAACUGCCUUUGAUACUGGAGAGCUAGAGUCCGGAAGAGGCGAGUGGAACUGCGAGUGUAGAGGUGAAAUUCGUAGAUAUUCGCAAGAACACCAGUGGCGAAGGCGGCUCACUGGUCCGGUACUGACGCUGAGGUGCGAAAGCGUGGGGAGCAAACAGG